rnacentral:rRNA from 1 species
UAGGGAAUCUUCCACAAUGGACGCAAGUCUGAUGGAGCAACGCCGCGUGAGUGAAGAAGGUUUUCGGACCGUAAAGCUCUGUUGUUGGUGAAGGAGGAUAGAGGUAGUAACUGGCCUUUAUUUGACGGUAAUCAACCAGAAAGUCACGGCUAACUACGUGCCAGCAGCCGCGGUAAUACGUAGGUGGCAAGCGUUGUCCGGAUUUAUUGGGCGUAAAGCGAGCGCAGGCGGAAGAAUAAGUCUGAUGUGAAAGCCCUCGGCUUAACCGAGGAAUUGCAUCGGAAACUGUUUUCUUGAGUGCAGAAGAGGAGAGUAGAACUCCAUGUGUAGCGGCGGAAUGCGUAGAUAUAUGGAAGAAUACCAGUGGCGAAGGCGGCUCUCUGGUCUGCAACUGACGCUGAGGCUCGAAAGCAUGGGUAGCGAACAGGAUUAGAUACCCUGGUAGUCCAUGCCGUAAACGAUGAGUGCUAAGUGUUGGGAGGCUUCCGCCUCUCAGUGCUGCAGCUAACGCAUUAAGCACUCCGCCUGGGGGAGUACGACCGCAAGGUUGAAAC